UCCCUGGUGGCUCAAAUAGUAAAAGCGUCUGCCUGCAAUGCGGGAGACCCGGGUUCGAUCCCCGGAUCGGGAC
rnacentral:tRNA from 1 species